GACGAACGCUGGCGGCGUGCUUAACACAUGCAAGUCGAACGGAAAGGCCCUGCUUUUGUGGGGUGCCCGAUUGGCGAACGGGUGAGUAACACGUGAGUAACCUGCCCUUGACUUUGGGAUAACUUCAGGAAACUGGGGCUAUUACCGUAUAGGACUUCCGCCGCAAGGGCGGGGUUGGGAACUUUUGGCCGGUUGGGAAUGGACUCGCGGCUGAUCGGCUUGUUGGUGGGGUAGUGGCUUACCAAGGCUUUGACGGGUAGCCGGCCUGAGAGGGUGACCGGCCACAUUGGGACUGAGAUACGGCCCAGACUCCUACGGGAGGCAGCAGUGGGGAAUAUUGCACAAUGGGCGGAAGCCUGAUGCAGCAACGCCGCGUGCGGGAUGACGGCCUUCGGGUUGUAAACCGCUUUCGCCUGUGACGAAGCGUGAGUGACGGUAAUGGAUAAAGAAGCACCGGCUAACUACGUG
rnacentral:rRNA from 1 species